ACUCGCACGACACAUUAUCAAACAAGGCAUCCGUCGAGGAAAUCUGGUCCCUCACUGUCUCAAUAAAUCGAAAUGGGCCAUUGUCGUCACCCUAGCAAUUCUCAAAGCUGGAGGGGCAAGUGUCGCUGUCGGGCCGAGAUCACCUCUCCAAAGGUUGGCUGGCAAUAUUCAGACGCUGGAUGCGCCUCUCAUGCUGGUAGAUGAAGAAAACAGAUGUCAAGCGGAAAGUCUUGGCAUUCCACUCAUCACCAUAAGCGAGUGCUUUAUGAUGAGCCUUGACGAUUCAGAUCAGACGAUUGACUCCGGUGUGCGGAGCAAUGAACCUGCGUUUGUUGUUUUUACGUCAGGAAGUACUGGCCAGCCGAAAGCCAUUGUACUGCAACAUGACUCGAUAUGCUAUAGCGCUAGAGCACAUGGAUCAUCACUUGGGAUAGGGCGCGGGAGCCGGGUGCUGCAGUAUGCAGCGUACACGUUUGAUG
rnacentral:sRNA from 1 species